rnacentral:rRNA from 1 species
CCCGCUGAACUUAAGCAUAUCAAUAAGCGGAGGAAAAGAAACCAACAGGGAUUGCCUCAGUAACGGCGAGUGAAGCGGCAAUAGCUCAAAUUUGAAAUCUGGCCUCUGGCCCGAAUUGUAAUUUGUAGAGGAUGCUUCGAGGAUGGUCCAGUCUAAGUUCCUUGGAACAGGACGUCAUAGAGGGUGAGAAUCCCGUAUGCGACUGGGUGCCUAAGCUCAUGUGAAGCUCCUUCGACGAGUCGAGUUGUUUGGGAAUGCAGCUCAAAAUGGGUGGUAAAUUUCAUCUAAAGCUAAAUACUGGCCAGAGACCGAUAGCGCACAAGUAGAGUGAUCGAAAGAUGAAAAGCACUUUGGAAAGAGAGUUAAACAGUGCGUGAAAUUGUUGAAAGGGAAACGUUUGACACCAGUUAUGCGGGUGGAAAAUCAGCCUUUUGCAGUGGGGAGUUGUGGGCGUUCAGACCGCAAGGCUGGCGUUUGCUUCAUCUUUGCUGUAAGUGAUGCACUUUUUCAUUUGCAGGUCAACAUCAGUUUGCUUUGCUGGACAAAACCCCAAGGGAAGGUGGCAGCUUAGGCUGUGUUAUAGCCCUGGGGCGAUACAGUGGAGUGGACUGAGGUUUCGCAGUGUGUGCUCUCGGGCAAGGCUGACUGGGCGCUAUGGGAUCGUUCGGCGUACAAUGCAUGCAUUUUGCGUCGUGUCUUUUUCAUACUCGCUCAACUCGGCUCUUCCACACUUAGGAUGUUGACUUAAUGGUUUUAAACGACCCGUCUUGAAACACGG